rnacentral:rRNA from 1 species
UACGAGGGGGGCAAGCGUUGUUCGGAAUUAUUGGGCGUAAAGGGCGCGUAGGCGGUGCGGUAAGUCUGAUGUGAAAUCUCCGGGCUCAACUCGGAGUCUGCAUCAGAAACUGCCGUGCUCGAGUGUGGUAGGGGAGACUGGAAUUCCUGGUGUAGCGGUGAAAUUCGUAGAUAUCGGGAGGAACACCGGUGGCGAAGGCGGCGAUCUGGGUAGAUACUGACGCUGAGGUGCGAAAGCGUGGGGAGCAAACAGG